rnacentral:rRNA from 1 species
ACGGGUGAGUAAUAUAUCGGAACAUACCCUAGAGUGGGGGAUAACGUAGCGAAAGUUACGCUAAUACCGCAUACGAUCUAAGGAUGAAAGCGGGGGAUCGCAAGACCUCGUGCUCAUGGAGUGGCCGAUAUCUGAUUAGCUAGUUGGUAGGGUAAAAGCCUACCAAGGCGACGAUCAGUAGCUGGUUUGAGAGAACGACCAGCCACACUGGAACUGAGACACGGUCCAGACUCCUACGGGAGGCAGCAGUGGGGAAUUUUGGACAAUGGGGGCAACCCUGAUCCAGCAAUGCCGCGUGAGUGAAGAAGGCCUUCGGGUUGUAAAGCUCUUUUGUCAGGGAAGAAACGGUGAGUUCUAAUACAACUUGCUAAUGACGGUACCUGAAGAAUAAGCACCGGCUAACUACGUGCCAGCAGCCGCGGUAAUACGUAGGGUGCAAGCGUUAAUCGGAAUUACUGGGCGUAAAGCGUGCGCAGGCGGUUUUAUAAGUCUGAUGUGAAAUCCCCGGGCUCAACCUGGGAACUGCAUUGGAGACUGUAAGGCUAGAGUGUGUCAGAGGGGGGUAGAAUUCCACGUGUAGCA